ACAUGCAAGUCGAACGAAGCGGCCCAAUGACAUUACUGAAAUUCAGCGUGCUUGCACAAGAACGGAUUAUUAGAUUGGAUUUCCGCUUAGUGGCGAAAGGGUGAGUAACACGUAGGAAUCUACCUUCGAGACUGGGACAACAGUUGGAAACGACUGCUAAUACCGGAUUAUAUGUUAAACGAUACGUUGUUUAAUAUUAAAAGGAGCCUCUAAAGCUUCACUUGAAGAUGAGCCUGCGGCGUAUUAGCUAGUUGGUAAGGUAAUGGCUUACCAAGGCAACGAUGCGUAGCCGACCUGAGAGGGUAAUCGGCCACAUUGGGACUGAGACACGGCCCAAACUCCUAUGGGAGACAGCAGUUAGGAAUAUUCGACAAUGGAGGAAACUCUGAUCGAGCAAUGCCGCGUGUGUGAUGAAGGUCCUUUGGAUCGUAAAACACUUUUAUCAGGGAAGAACGACUAGUAUAGGAAAUGAUACUAGAGUGACGGUACCUUUUGAAUAAGCCCCGGCUAACUACGUGCCAGCCGCAGC
rnacentral:rRNA from 1 species